GUAUUAGGCAACAACCUUUCCUCCUCGCUGAAAGUGCUUUACAACCCGAAGGCCUUCUUCACACACGCGGCAUGGCUGCAUCAGGGUUUCCCCCAUUGUGCAAUAUUCCCCACUGCUGCCUCCCGUAGGAGUCUGGACCGUGUCUCAGUUCCAGUGUGGCUGAUCAUCCUCUCAGACCAGCUAGGGAUCGUCGCCUUGGUGAGCCAUUACCUCACCAACUAGCUAAUCCCACCUGGGCAUAUCCAAUCGCGCAAGGCCCGAAGGUCCCCUGCUUUCCCCCGUAGGGCGUAUGCGGUAUUAGCAGUCGUUUCCAACUGUUAUCCCCCUCGACUGGGCAAUUUCCCAGGCAUUACUCACCCGUCCGCCGCUCGCCGGCAAAAGUAGCAAGCUACUUUCCCGCUGCCGCUCGACUUGCAUGUGUUAGGCCUGCCGCCAGCGU
rnacentral:rRNA from 1 species